UACGUAGGGGGCAAGCGUUGUCCGGAUUCAUUGGGCGUAAAGAGCGUGUAGGCGGCCAGGUAGGUCGGUUGUGAAAACUGGAGGCUCAACCUUCAGACGUCGACCGAAACCAUCUGGCUAGAGUCCGGGAGAGGAGAGUGGAAUUCCUGGUGUAGCGGUGAAAUGCGUAGAUAUCUGGAGGAACACCGGUGGCGAAGGCGACAUCCUGGACCGGUAUUGACGCUGAGGCGCGAAAGCCAGGGGAGCAAAGCGGG
rnacentral:rRNA from 1 species